UGAGUAACACGUAUCCAACCUGCCGUCUACUCUUGGACAGCCUUCUGAAAGGAAGAUUAAUACAAGAUGCAUCAUGAGUCCGCAUGUUCACAUGAUUAAAGGUAUUCCGGUAGACGAUGGGGAUGCGUUCCAUUAGAUAGUAGGCGGGGUAACGGCCCACCUAGUCUUCGAUGGAUAGGGGUUCUGAGAGGAAGGUCCCCCACAUUGGAACUGAGACACGGUCCAA
rnacentral:rRNA from 1 species